rnacentral:rRNA from 1 species
AAUAGACUCGACGAGUUUCGGGCUUCGGCUCGACUCUCCCCCCUUUGUGAACGUACCUCUGUUGCUUUGGCGGCUCCGGCCGCCAAAGGACCUCCAAACUCCAGUCAGUAAACGCAGACGUCUGAUAAACAAGUUAAUAAACUAAAACUUUCAACAACGGAUCUCUUGGUUCUGGCAUCGAUGAAGAACGCAGCAGCUUG